AGUAGAAAGGAGACAUUGCUGGAACUGGCAGCAGAUGAGGGCCUUCACCUCAUUCCCUGAACCCGAAGUCAAACAGUUAGAAGAAGACUCUAGGAGUCACCAACAAGAUCAUUGAUCUACUGACAGGAGAGGUUCCUAUAAGGUGUCAGGAUGUCACUGUCUAUUUCUCCAU